rnacentral:lncRNA from 1 species
UUGUGAUCAUCCAUCUUCCUCUUGAUUAUUUUUCAGAGGUUUUUAUUUUUGGUAAAAUCAAAGAAAAUCAUCAUUUUUAAGUGCUCUUUUAUUUUGUUCCAGAGCUGUAUACAUUUUUACUUAUGUAUUUAACAUUUAUAUUGUUUUCCAGAUCAAUAUGACCAAUUUUUGGGCAAAAGUGCUGCAAGAUGCCAGACAGGACCCGUGUGCCUUGAAUGCCAUAUUAAAAUAUAUAGUAUGUAAUAUAUUAAAAUAUAUUAAAAUGUUUUUUUUUUUGUGAAUUGGCAUGACAAAACUGUAAGCACACAUAUUAAUAUAUUUAUUAGUGUGUUUAUUAACACCGUGUGCUUCUUUGGAAAACUGCCUGUGAUUAUUAGUUUGACUCAACCAGACUAAACCAAUUUUACAGCAUUCUGACUGUAGAGGGAGCCCAGAAGCAAGAAAUAAUUCUGAAAUAAUUCUGCUGCAGGAGGAAUAAAGCUCAUGCAUCUUGGGUUUUCUUCUUUCUGGUAUUUUCAUGCACUUAACACAGAUUGAGGCCUGUUGUUAAUCAGAAUGGACAUUUAUCAGCCAAUCAAAGAGCAGCUUACCCCCGCCCACUGCACUGGACAAAAUUAAAAUCAAGUAAUUUGUGAGAUAGUAUGAAUUAAAUAUAUGAUUGUGCUGAUUUGUGAAACAUAUGAGUAAAAUAACUGUUUUAGUAAUAAUUUUAUUUAUUUUAUCUAUUUUUGAGUGCAUUACAGACAGAAAACAGCAUUCUAUUCAAUUCUUCCAUCCAUCCAUCCAAUCAUCCAUCCAUCCAUUAUCUUCCUGUAGCAGUAUGAAACAGUACUCACCGCUCUCUGGCUUUAUCUGUAAUUUCUCUAAAGAAAAGACUUCUCCUUUUAAUAGUUAUUUUAAGAGUUUUCUGUGUUUCUGUGUCUUUUUCUAGUUAUUAUGAUGAUAAAAGUGUGAAUGUGCUGUGUGUAAGUGUGUAAAUGCUGCUGUUCCAGCACUGAUGUACUACAGAUAAAUAAAUAAUAAUUUCCAAAGCUUGGUUUAAACA